rnacentral:rRNA from 1 species
AUUGAACGCUGGCGGCAGGCCUAACACAUGCAAGUCGAGCGGGGUUUUCGGACCUAGCGGCGGACGGGUGAGUAAUGCGUAGGAAGCUGCCCGAUAGAGGGGGAUACCAGUUGGAAACGACUGUUAAUACCGCAUAAUGUCUACGGACCAAAGUGUGGGACCUUCGGGCCACAUGCUCUCGGAUGCGCCUACGUUGGAUUAGCUAGUUGGUGAGGUAAUGGCUCACCAAGGCGACGAUCUCUAGCUGGUUUGAGAGGAUGAUCAGCCACACUGGAACUAAGACACGGUCCGGACUCCUACGGGAGGCAGCAGUGGGGAAUAUUGGACAAUGGGCGCAAGCCUGAUCCAGCCAUGCCGCGUGUGUGAAGAAGGCCUUCGGGUUGUAAGGCACUUUCAGCGAGGAGGAAGGGUGGUGUGUUAAUAGCACAUCAUUUUGACGUUACUCGCAGAAGAAGCACCGGCUAACUCUGUGCCAGCCGCCGCCGUAA